ensembl:lncRNA
CAGGAGGCUUCCUGUGUGCUGUUUUGGAUCUGUCAGGAAUUCUCUUCCUUAUUAAAUCCUGAAUAUUCAGGAAUUAAGAGGAGAGACGAGCUUCUCCCGGGGGCUGAGGAAUCCAGGCGUUUCCUUUAUUAGUUUUCUAUAUGGUGCAUUGAUGGAGCUAGCCAUUAUGUGAAUGGGGACAGAAAUAAAACACAAUGUAACUCUGUAUUCAGGCCGUUCACCGUAUAUCCUGGAAAGGAGGAGUAUGUGACUGGCUUAGCUUGGGUCUUUUUCUGGCUCCUCAGACUGUGUCCAGAGGUAACUACUCAGAGGGAAAAGAUAUUCAAUAACAAAAAGAAAUGGAAUGAAUGAACAGCCACGGCAACAAACAUUUACUCACCAUCUUUCACAGCUGAUGCCAACUUUGAGCAUGAGAAGGCUCACCGCAUGGCUGUCUAAUGAGGAACCUCCUGGGGAUGGUGGUGACAGCUACUCCCCUUUGCCACUGAAAGCUUGUUCCACUUACUGACCAAGAAUUUGGACUGGGGCCAUCCAUGGGAAGAAGUACCAUUAUUUUAGCAGUGAUUAGUGGACUAUAAUGUGAUCAUUGUCACCUGGGAACUCAUUAGAAAUGCAAAUUCUUGGGACCUCCUCCCUCAGAGCUACACAAUCAGAAAUGCUGGAAAGGGGCC